GGCCUUGUCAUGGAAUUUCAACGAGCACUGGACGACACACCAUCUGAUUAUACACGGCAGCAAAAUUUUCUUACAGAUUUGCUUUCUAGGGUUUUAUAUUUCGAAAGGAAGAGAGAUGGUCUCUUUUGGCUAUGUGAAACCUGCAAUUUUCGAAAGAGAAGAGAUAAAACAGAAAUAUCAAUCUCAUAUUCGAGGCCUCAACGCUUGCGAUCGCCACAAUAAAUUUUUGAACGAUUCGGUUAGUUUUAUGGGAAAGGAAAAUGUACCAAUGAGAAGCUGCUGAUUGAAAUGGACAGAAACGCACUAAGAAAGGAUAGCGGCUCGUACGUUCAGAGGAAGAUGAUAUGGUUACAUCCUGGGAGCAAAGGCCAGUGAAGCGUUUUUAUGAUAAGCUUUCAAAGAGCAUCCUUUGUGAAUGGAUGUUAUGGUCUGAACAGUAUUGUUACUCCUACAUCUGAAAUUCACUUCAAUGUACCGUGAACUUAAGCUUUUUGAAGAUGAUGCAUAGCUGACAUGUCACUCUACAACAUUGGCAAGGUGUGUGGUUUCCCAUUGCAUAAAGCUGUUUAAUCUCAGCUGUAAUGACUUGAAAUGGUCAUUCUGAUGAUCUUAAGAGUGUAUUUCUUUGUUUCCCCAGAAGAAUCAAAGUAAACUAUUUAUAGAUUGGAUUUUCCUC